AGAGCUUAGCUGAUUGGUGAACAG
rnacentral:ncRNA from 5 species